rnacentral:rRNA from 1 species
UACGUAGGGUGCAAGCGUUGUCCGGAAUUAUUGGGCGUAAAGAGCUCGUAGGCGGUUUGUCGCGUCGAAUGUGAAAACCCGGGGCUCAACCCCGGGCCUGCAUUCGAUACGGGCAGACUAGAGUUCGGUAGGGGAGUCUGGAAUUCCUGGUGUAGCGGUGAAAUGCGCAGAUAUCAGGAGGAACACCGGUGGCGAAGGCGGGAUCUCUGGGCCGAUACUGACGCUGAGGAGCGAAAGCGUGGGGAGCGAACAGG